AGAUUGAACGCUGGCGGCAUGCCUUACACAUGCAAGUCGAACGGCAGCGCGGGAGCAAUCCUGGCGGCGAGUGGCGAACGGGUGAGUAAUAUAUCGGAACGUGCCCUGUAGCGGGGGAUAACCUAUCGAAAGAUGGACUAAUACCGCAUACGCUCUACGGAGGAAAGCGGGGGUCGCAAGACCUCGCACUAUAGGAGCGGCCGAUAUCGGAUUAGCUAGUUGGCGGGGUAAAAGCCCACCAAGGCGACGAUCCGUAGCUGGUCUGAGAGGAUGAUCAGCCACACUGGAACUGAGACACGGUCCAGACUCCUACGGGAGGCAGCAGUGGGGAAUUUUGGACAAUGGGCGCAAGCCUGAUCCAGCCAUGCCGCGUGAGUGAAGAAGGCCUCGGGUUGUAAAGCUCUUUCGGCAGGAACGAAUGGUUCGUGCUAAUACCACGGACUGAUGACGGUACCUGAAGAAGAAGCACCGGCUAACUACGUGCCA
rnacentral:rRNA from 1 species